GCAUGGCGAGCGCAUGAAACUGACACAGGAUGGGGACGCGUCGGAUUAGCUUGACGGCGGGGCGACGGCCCACCGUGGCGACGAUCCGCAGGGGUUCUGAGAGGAAGGUCCCCCACACUGGCACUGAGACACGGGCCAGACUCCUACGGGAGGCAGCAGUGAGGAAUAUUGGUCAAUGGCCGAGAGGCUGAACCAGCCAAGUAGCGUGCAGGACGACGGCCCUACGGGUUGUAAACUGCUUUUGCGGGAGGAUAAAGGACACUACGUGUAGUGUUUUGCAGGUAUCCCGUGAAUAAGGACCGGCUAAUUCCGUGCCAGCAGCCGCGGUAAUACGGAAGGUCCGGGCGUUAUCCGGAUUUAUUGGGUUUAAAGGGAGCGCAGGCGGACUGCUAAGCGUGCCGUGAAAGCGCGGGGCUCAACCCCGUACAGCGGCGCGAACUGGCGGUCUUGGUUGCGGGAAGGGGAGGCGGAACUCGUGGUGUAGCGGUGAAAUGCAUAGAUAUCACGAAGAACUCCGAUCGCGAAGGCAGCCUCCCGGCCCGUCAACGACGCUCAUGCUCGAAGGCGCGGGUAUCAAACA
rnacentral:rRNA from 1 species